rnacentral:tRNA from 1 species
GGGCUUAUGAGGUAAUCUGGAUAGCCUGGCAGGCUUCGGACCUGCUCGUCGGGGUUCAAAUCCCCGUAAGCCCA